rnacentral:rRNA from 1 species
AUUGAACGCUGGCGGCAGGCCUAACACAUGCAAGUCGAACGGUAACAGGGAUCAGCUUGCUGAUUCGCUGACGAGUGGCGGACGGGUGAGUAAUGUCUGGGAAACUGCCUGAUGGAGGGGGAUAACUACUGGAAACGGUAGCUAAUACCGCAUAACGUCGCAAGACCAAAGAGGGGGACCUUCGGGCCUCUUGCCAUCGGAUGUGCCCAGAUGGGAUUAGCUAGUAGGUGGGGUAACGGCUCACCUAGGCGACGAUCCCUAGCUGGUCUGAGAGGAUAACCAGCCACACUGGAACUGAGCCACGGUCCAGACUCCUACGGGAGGCAGCAGUGGGGAAUAUUGCACAAUGGGCGCAAGCCUGAUGCAGCCAUGCCGCGUGUAUGAAGAAGGCCUUCGGGUUGUAAAGUACUUUCAGCGGGGAGGAAGGGAGUAAAGUUAAUACCUUUGCUCAUUGACGUUACCCGCAGAAGAAGCACCGGCUAACUCCGUG